GUUAGGGUUAGGGUUAGGGUUAGGGUUAGGGUCCGCAUUAGGGUUAGGGUUAGGGUUAGGGUUAGGGUUAGGGUUAGGUUGAAAUUAUGCGGGCAGUGGGCUAAAAAGCCCUCUUGUGAUUUCUGAUCUCCCCACUUGAGAUUCUGUUUCACAUCACCCUGCCACUUUGAUCUGGCCCACGCCUUCAUUAACCAGGUCCCACACUUGCCCUUGUUGAAUCCUACCCCUCUCAGAAUAUCAAAAGUUAAUCGGGGAAUGCCUAGGGUUUGUGGGGGUGUAUGCCCCCCUUGGAAGUUGCCUAGGGUUUAUGGGGGUGACUACCCCUCUUGGAAUUUGCCUAUAUAUGGGGGUGUAUGCCCCUUUAGGGUUAGGGUUAGGGUUAGGGUUAGGUUGAAAUUAUGCGGGCAGUGGGCUAAAAAGCCCUCUUGUGAUUUCUGAUCUCCUCACUUGAGAUUCUGUUUCACAUCACCCUGCCACUUUGAUCUGGCCCACGCCUUCAUUAACCAGGUCCCACACUUGCCCUUGUUGAAUCCUACCCCUCUCAGAAUAUCAAAAGUUAAUCGGGGAAUGCCUAGGGUUUGUGGGGGUGUAUGCCCCCCUUGGAAGUUGCCUAGGGUUUAUGGGGGUGACUACCCCUCUUGGAAUUUGCCUAUUUAUGGGGGUGUAUGCCCCUUUUGGACUUUAGGAUUAGGUUUAAGUGUAGGGCUGGUGGAUCUAUAUGUUUAGCUGGCAAAGGGUUAGGGUUAGGGUUAGGGUUAGGGUUAGGGUUAGGGUUAGGGUUAGGGUUAGGGUUAGGGUUAGGGUUAGGGUUAGGGUUAGGGUUAGGGUUAGGGUUAGGGUUAGGGUUAGGGUUAGGGUUAGGGUUAGGGUUAGGGUCCGCAUUAGGGUUAGGGUUAGGGUUAGGGUUAGGUUGAAAUUAUGCGGGCAGUGGGCUAAAAAGCCCUCUUGUGAUUUCUGAUCUCCCCACUUGAGAUUCUGUUUCACAUCACCCUGCCACUUUGAUCUGGCCCACGCCUUCAUUAACCAGGUCCCACACUUGCC